rnacentral:rRNA from 1 species
UGGUGGAGCGAUUUGUCUGGUCAAUUCCGAUAACGAACGAGACUCUAGCCUACUAAAUAGUUCGGGGACCCCCACAAAGGGGCCCCGCUUCAACUUCUUAGAGGGACAGGUGGCGUUUAGCCACACGAGAUUAAGCAAUAACA